CGAGCUGCUUCUUCAUUCGCUGAGCGCUCAUGCUCUUCGCAGUCUGGCUGGCAGUCAGUCCUCUGCAUUUAAAGACCAACUUUGGCUGCUAGAAAUGCCAUAUUCUCUCGUCGUAGCUAACCUUUGAAGGUCCUGCUGGUUUUUCCAUUCCAGCUGUUUUUGGACUUUGCCUUGGAGCAACUUUGACAGCGUCGGUUUUCCUUUUCCAGAACAAGCGUGCAAUUGCAGCAAGGUUCACUCUUUGGCAUUACACAACCCUUGGGAGGUUCGUUUCAGCCUCGUCGUGCACAAAGACAGCAGCGAUGAUCAUCAGGCUCGGCAGACUGACUCCUGGAUACUUCCGUCUCCUGCAGAGGCAGGUAGCAGGUGAGGUUCAGGCCCCAACGCACGACCGUGCCGUCAACCAGAUCGCCAUGAUGCUGGCCAUCAUGGGCCUCAGCCUGUCGUAUUACAGUGCCAAACAAAUGACCGAGAAGGUUCGCCGCGAACCCGCCCCAUGAAGAUGUGCGAAUGCGCUCCGGAUUGACGGCGUCCGGAAAAGACGAAGCCAAACUGAAGAUGUUCAGAUGUCGAAGAUUCAGACUCUACCUUAUAUCUAUAACCUCUAGGGAUCGCACACCUCGGGACUUCCGCUUAGGGGUUCUCUUGCUUUAGUUUAGCUCUCAAUGGAUCUGGAAGUGGUUGUGGCCUGAGUUUUAAUAGUUGACUUGAUACAUGCAUCAGAGAGUCAGUCAGUUCUGCUGUAGGUUCAAAACCUGAGCUCCACAUUGCAUCUGGAGCUCCACUCUAUGCCAUAAUGUGUUUUAAAAAGGGAAGGACCUCUGUGUUUGAGAUGUACCAAGCAACUAUUGAAAGCAGGUCCAAUGCACAAGAGUGAAAUGCUCAGAUUUCCCCCCAAAACAUGCUAUUGAAGAACAUCAGAGGCUUGGGGACUUAUAGUGGAGGUGCUGCUCUACAAUACUACACUUGAUGUUAGACACUUUAGGAAAUGUACUACACAGGACCUUAUGUUAAAGUGACUUGUUCUUUUCAUUAGAACUUAAGAAAAUAUCUUCUCAUUGGUCUCCAACACUUUAGAUGUUAAUGCUGACUUCGUGUGCAAUUGCAUGAGAUUGAAGCAGUUUUUAUUUUUAGUGAAACCAAUCUGUAAUGUUAUUUCUAAUGCUUUUUUUAUGAUAAUGUGAUUAAGAUGAAUGUACUGUAUGUUAUAUUUUUAAGACACAAUGAUCAAAUAAAGCUGUGAAUAUUUUGAACAUGAUCAAGUAAUGGAAAGCAAGUCGUGACUCAAGAAGGUUUAGAAGAACGUUAUGAAAUUUGGCCAACUCAUUCCUGCUGAGUCGAGUUUUACACGAAACCAUAUGAAAGGUUUUCCUGUCGGCAGAAGCGUGCUGUUGAACAGGAAGUGGGCACAGCCUCAGGCAACAGCUUCCUCUAUCUGCACGCAAUAUUUGUCUACCAGUGUGCUGUAGCUGGCUUUAUGUUUGACCCACUUACCAAAUUCAAUAGACAUCAAUUAAACAUUUGCACACCAAGUAACUUGAGGUGUGUCUGCUGUGUCGCUCCCCUGAUAUGCUAAGCAAUUUAGGCCAGAAAUUUACUCGCGGAUGCUUCAAGCUAUCAAGCAUUUUUUUUGGUAUGUCUUUGUGUUUUAAAUUGUGUUUGAGUGCAAUUUAUAUUGUGUUGCAUUCUCAGAAUUUCCAAAAGGGUGCUAUGGGGGGCGUUAACAUUUCUUUUUAAAGAGAAAGUUGCUAAAUAAGUUCAAGUAACCCUCAUGUUGCAUUCUGGCCAUUUUAACCUGGAGAAGUUUUUCUUUUUCCUGAAAAUGUUAGGUAAUUUUAUUGCACUGGACUAAAAUUUACUGACUUCCCAAAACAACUCAAAAAAUGAUUUUGGGGGAUUUUUUUUCUUCUGCCAUCUUGUUGUACGUGUGGUGCUUCCC